CUAGAAUCCUUCAUUUAGUGC
rnacentral:piRNA from 1 species